GAGUGGCUCCAAAAUAAGAAUAUCCCUCCAAUAGCAAGGAUCCCUAGGCUCCAAAAAACAUCCGAACCCGUACGCUCGGGAGCACAGCGCGUCCAUUGCUCUCCCAGGUCAUCCGGUUGCAAGUAUUCAGGGCACAAAGACUUUAGAGCUUAAGGAUUGCAUCGGGGCCAUUGACGGCACACAUGUUCGUGCCUCUGUUCCUAAGGAAAUGGAGGCUGCAUUCCGUGGUAGAAAGAGUCACCCUACUCAAAAUGUAAUGGCAGCAGUAGAUUUUGAUCUAAGGUUCACUUUUGUAAUGGCCGGAUGGGAGGGUACAACCCAUGAUGCCCUCAUUUUAAGAGAUGCUUUAGAAUGAGAAAAUGGUCUUCGUGUCCCUGAAGGCAAAUUCUACCUAGUUGAUGCGGGAUAUGGAGCCAAACCAGGUUUUUUACCCCCUUUUUGUGGUGUGAGGUACCACUUGAAUGAGUGGGGGCAAUAAUCCAGUUCAAAAUGAGAAGGAAUUGUUCAACCAUAGGCACUCAUCCCUCAGAGUUACAGUAGAGCGUGCCUUUGGAUCUUUGAAGAGGCGAUUCAAAAUUUUAGAUGAUGCUAUACCAUUUUUCCCCUUCCCAACACAAGUAGAGAUUGUUGUUGCUUCAUGCAUUAUACAUAAUUGGGUCAUAGAAGAUGGGGGUGAUGAGUUCAUUGUACCUGAGGCCGAAGAUGAGCUACCUAGUAUUAAUCAUCAAAGAUCAUCACAUGGACAAGCAAUGGAACAUGCCUUUAUGGUUAACUUUAGACAACAAAUUGCUAAUGCCAUGUGGGAAGAUCGUCAGCAAUACCAAAAUACUACAUGAAUGCUAUGUUAUCUGCUAUCACUAUGUAUCUUUGCUUUAUAUGAAGCUUUGAGCUUAUGAUUUGUAUGAAACAAUGUAUCUUUGAUUUAUGUGGAACUAUGUACCUUUCAUUUGUAUGAAACAAUGUAUCUUAGAUUUA